UUUAAUAUGGCAGAUAAGUGCAUUGGAUUUAAGCCUCAAAUAUAAAGUUCUAAUCUUUUAUUAGAA
rnacentral:tRNA from 1 species